UCCCCUGUGGCCCAGCUGGCUAAGGCGUCCGACUGUUAAUCGGGAGAUCGACAGUUCGAUCCUGUCCGGGGGAG
rnacentral:tRNA from 6 species